GCUCUAGUGGCCUAUGUGGUUAGAGUGUCCACCUUGGAUGUUGGAGGUCAUGGGUUUGAACCCCAGCCAAAUCA